AACGAACGCUGGCGGCAGGCUUAACACAUGCAAGUCGAACGGGCGUAGCAAUACGUCAGUGGCAGACGGGUGAGUAACACGUGGGAACCUUCCUCGUUGUACGGAACAACUCAGGGAAACUUGAGCUAAUACCGUAUACGUCCGAGAGGAGAAAGAGUUAUCGCACUGAGACGGGCCCGCGUCGGAUUAGGUAGUUGGUGGGGUAACGGCCUACCAAGCCGACGAUCCGUAGCUGAUCUGAGAGGAUGAUCAGCCACACUGGGACUGAGACACGGCCCAGACUCCUACGGGAGGCAGCAGUGGGGAAUCUUGGACAAUGGGCGCAAGCCUGAUCCAGCCAUGCCGCGUGAGUGAAGAAGGCCUUAGGGUUGUAAAGCUCUUUUACCAGGGACGAUAAUGACGGUACCUGGAGAAUAAGCCCCGGCAAACUUCGUGCCAGCCGCCGCCGUAAUAC
rnacentral:rRNA from 1 species